rnacentral:rRNA from 1 species
UGGUGGGGACGCUUAUUGGGCCUAAAGCAUUCGUAGCCGGCUGGGCAAGUCCUCCGUUAAAUCCAACGAUUCAAUCGUCGGACUGCGGGGGAUACUGUCUAGCUAGGAGGCGGGAGAGGCCGGCGGUAUUUUCGGGGUAGGGGUGAAAUCCUAUAAUCCCGGGAGGGCCAUCAGUGGCGAAG